rnacentral:lncRNA from 1 species
ACGAAUCCCGUGUUCGUCCCGAUCGGACGCCGCGUCCCAGCGUCUCGCCCCACAAGCACACAAUCCUCUCUUGUGGGCUCCCCCAAGCCCUUGUUCCUUUGGAUAAACAGAGCAGCGCCCUGUUUCUCUCGAUCCUGACUGCGCGACCGCGGCCCCAGCUCCCCUCGCCGCCGCCGGUACUCGUCCGAGAUAGGGUCGGUUCCCGGGUGGGCUUCUCCUUGGUUAUUUUAUUUGCAUUUUCUUUUAUAUAUAUAUAUAUAAUUCAUUGUUUUCUUGUGUAGCUGAGUAGUUUUAAUGCUUCAUUUAAGCUCUGCAUUCGAUCUUUAGCCCUUGAUUCGCUAGAUUUGGGCCAUCAAAAUGCUUCAAUAACGUUACCUGACAAGACGACGAGAUCUUCGACAUCAAGAGUCUUGUUUGCGAAACGACCGGCGAGAGUUGUGAAGUUGGAGAAGGGCGAAGGGAUGUUGGCACGGGCCUCUGAUGCCAGGGAAAUGGUGCCGUCCCUCCUGCCGGUCUGAACUUCCCAUAAAGACUCCUUAAGCUGCCAAUGGAUAUAUCUUGGUUCAUAUACCAAUCACCGAAGAUCUAUGACUAGAGGAGACGGUCUCAGGGCAAGCUCUCUCUAAUGCUGUCUUCACCUCUUCAAUGACAUCAAAGCCUGCUAGUGAUAAGUUUGGAACGGCGUCCUUCUCAGCGGUAUUGUUUGUUGGUUGCUCGAGUCGCUUGGAUUGGAGCGCUUGAGGGUUUCUUGAUGUUUCUUGGCUAAUUUGUUGGAUUUUGAGUUAUCGUCAGUUGAUACAGAGUAAUGUUGGAUUCUUGACGAAUUCGUCAAUUGUUUACCUUCUACAAGGAUUUCUGUUCUACCUUUGGUGGUUGAUUCGUUGGAUUUUGGUUAAUUUUUGGCUGGUGCAGUUGACUUGAAGUCAUUGGGAUUUCUUGAUGAAUUUGUUCUUCACUUUUCAGAAUCUGGGAAUUAUUUGGUCUUCUUUGAGGGUUUCCAUUCGAUCUUUCGUAGUUAAUUCGCUGGAUCUGGGUUAUCUUCGGUUGAUUCACUUGAUUUGGAGGGAAUAUGAUUUGUGAAUAAUCACCUCACGCUUCUUAAAAUUUGAAAAUAAUUGUUCUUCUUAGAGGAUCUGUUGUUCUUGGUUCGGUUGAGCUAGAAUUGUAGAGGAAAACAGGCCAAGGUAGUGGUCUAAUUAUCAGAACAGCAGUAAUAUUCCCUGUUACAACGAUCGUUAGUUAGAAAUUGAAUUUUUCAAAUGCUUGAAAACUUUCAGAAAUUAUUUUAAAUUAUUAGCAUGACACUGAUUCAAUUUGCAUGGUUUUGGGAUUAUAAGGUUUCCAAAGAUCUUGUGAGGUGAUUAAAUUACCUAGUUGUUGACAUCUGCAAGGUACGUAACAUCUUCGCUUUAUAGUGUUUAUUUAGAAUUAAUUGUAAAAUAUCUUGUAUUCAAUCUUGUGCAAAUUAUUAUGAUAAUUCCAAAUUUAAUUGCAUAUAAAAUCUCUAUAAAUAUGAAAAAUUAACUCAUGAUUUUUUUUCUAUUAAUUAAAUUGCAUGGUGUCACCUAUCAUAGUUAGAUCAAGCAUGUAAGAGUAUAAUUGUUGUAUGUUCAAUUGUACAAUUCAAAGUGGUAUUGUAAAAUAAAAGAAGGUUGGAUUUAUAUAUGUAUAUAUAUGUGUAUCACCUAACUCUCAACUUGACUACAUAUGGGUCUGGACUUAAUUAUGUGAAGAUCCUGCCACAGGAGUAAUCAUGGUGAUACCCUGCAUCAGGAUUAUAAAUGUGGCGACUUUGCCAUGGAGGUAAUCGUGGUGAUACCCUGUCAUAAGGGUAUAAAUGUGGCGACCCCGCCACGGGGGUAAUCGUGGGCAUGCUUGAGUUGCAGGGGUAUAAAUGCCGUUAUAAUCAGAGCUAUAGAGCUAAAAUGGAUUGGAACUUGUUACCCAAGUUCAAAUAUAUAAAUAUAAAUAUAAUUGAUUAUAAGAUUUGGAUAUUCUACUUUACUUUGAUAAAAUGUAUCAAUUCAUUAUGAGGACAUUAUUGAAAGGACAAAAUGCAUUGUUUCAAUAUGUGGAUACUAUUGAAAGUAAAUGAUAUGAAUUUACUUGAAUGUAUGUAUAAUAUCUUAUAUGAUUUAAUUGAGCUAAACUACUUAAUAUGGCUUGAUUCAAUUCUAUAAAAUGGACUUGUUACUUACUGAGUUGUGAAGCUCAUUAUCUUCACUUACACACACACACACACAUAUGUGUGUGUGUGUGUGUGUGUAUUAAAAUCCAAGGGCCAAUGACUAGGUUGAUAUCAGCUUUUGAGGAGAGCAUCUAGAGGUAAGGCUGCAUAAUUAAAAUAAAUCUAGUUUUAAUCAGAUUGUUUGCAAAAAUUUGUUGCUUGAAGAUUAUAUAUAUAUAUGACUUAAAUAAUAGAAGUUUUGAGUUGUAAAUUUGGAUGAAGAACCCUAUUUAUAACUUUUGCUGGUGUGUAGGAUAUAUGUAAUAGUUUGUUUUGAUAGUUUUGUUGUUCUGAUUAUCACCAUUGCCUGUAUAUUAAUUAUGUUGUCACCAGAUUAAGUUGAAUUCAUUAAUACAUAGAAUGUCUUGCAUGUUUAUAGGGUCAACCUCUGUGAGUAUGUGGUGGUUGUCUUGCACUCAAAUUAUGAUUCUAGGGUUAGGGACAUGACAUUUGGAGCAUAGGAGAAGGUUGAGGGAUCGAGGAGAGCUCGAGAUCCACCUUCAGAAGAAAAAGCAGGGGCCUCAAUAGGAUCUCUAUGGAAGGAUUUAGAAAUACUUGAAUGCUGGUAGGUUCGCCACAACAAGAAAAGGGAGAUCUAGCUAAGGGCUCUAAUACCAUGAAAAAAACAAAGCAAUUUUUUUUACUUUAUUCAUGGGGUUUAACCCAUAUUUAAACAUGAAUAUGUUGAGUAUAUGGUACAAGAUAAAUAUAUAUAUCUUUGGUGUUCAUGCAUUGUAUUUGACACCUUCAUUGCUUAUGUGAUAACAUUUGUUGCUAAGACGAGAUAGGUUUACAAUCUUUCAUAAUGAGCCAGUAUUCAAUAUCAAGUAGUGGGCAUUAUUCCAUAUUAGUUGACAAAUCUCAUGAAGAGGAAUUGGCCUUUUCCUUGUGCCUUAUGCAGUGCUAUUGUAAAGACGAUACAUAUAUUUUUUUCAUAUACUUUACCAAGACUAUUUGUACUUGCUUCAAUGCUAAAUUGGGAGCUCAUGGAUGGUCUGAUUUUAUUCUGUCUAUGGAAAGAAACGAAUACAUUGAUUUUCAAAGUAAUUAUUGUGUCGAUAGAUAUUAUUCGGGAAGUCAAGUUUCUGUUUUGUUAUGGUGGACUUCUAUUGCACUUAAAAGCUAGAGAGAUUUGUACAAUAGGAACAAAGUGGCUUUCUCGAUAUCUUAGGAUGUAGUGCUCCUCAUUUCAUUUCUUCAUGAAAUGAAUUAAUAGGAAAGAACUUCGGCUAAAAUAAAAAAAAGAAACUUCAGAUACUCCUGUAUUUCUCUUAUGUACAUGAGCAUGUCCACACAUGAAAUGGAAAAAAGGAACUCGUCUCUUAUUAAAUGAUUACCUUUUUCCAGUACAACAUAUUUGGAAUCAAUCGCACAGUACAACCGAUUUUCUUACAAGAAUUUUUAUUGAAACUCUUCACUGCAAUUCAUGAGGUUAAAGCAUAAAAUUAAAUAGUUAUUCUUCACGUGCAUGCUUUCGUCUCAAGACCUCACUAUGAGUUCACAACACUACAUUUCUUUCUAAUCUCUCCAUUUGUCCCAGUUAGUACUUCAAUUGCUCCCAUCCUUUUUAUUGAAUUUUUGAAUGCAUUGAAAAAGUUUUUGGCAUUGAGCAUCUUGUCUACAAUGUUGGCUGAAUGUUGGUCAGUUAGGAGUGCAGCAUCAGAUUUGAACAAUCCUUGAUGUAACUUCAAGUUCUCGUAGUAAUGGGUGUCGAAAUUAAGGCCACUUCCAGGGUCCAUAGGUACUGUAGUGGUGUUAUCAGAUAAAGUCUUGCACUGGGUCUUCAAGAAUGCUGCAUAAGUUGCAUUGAGAGAUGGAUCGGCAUCACCCUUCCCUGUGAAGUUGUACAAUCGAUUGCUGAAAAAAUUGCAAUGUCCUAUUCCAAUGGUGUGCGCACCUGCCCAAUUACAGAAAUCGAAAAUUUUCUAUCAUCUGACCUCCUAAAUUUUUUGGUGCGUUGCCAUAAACAAGAAACAAAUUAUUGAUCUUAUGUGGGAUCAUUUUGGAGUUACCUCACAAUGCACAAGAAUAAAACCACAAGCCUUUGACUGGCAUGUAUCGAGAUAUUGGGCUGAUGAGCUUAUCGAUAGGCAAGUCUUUGUGUAACAUAAUUAUGUAUGUGUAAAGCAUGAUUGUGGAAGUUUAUUGUUUUGUGAUUAAAGGCAGAUGCUAUGCAGUGUUCCUUAUUAUCAAGCUAGCCUAUGGAAGAAGAAAAGAAUUAAGAACCAUUUCAGGUUGGGUGGAACAUUUUAGCAAAUUUAACAUGGUGGAGAACUUGGUUGUUAAGGAUUAAAAAGUUCUUUCAAACGAUCUCUAAUCUAGUGGAAAACAUCAUUAGGGCGUUCAAGUUUCAUUGGACCAAGUGGUCCUCGGUCACUCCAACAAUAUUUGUUGAGAGCUAUUUUUUCUUAAGAUUAGUUGUAUGUGAUGUAAUCCAUUUUGUCUGAAAAAUAAACAGAGAGAUGUCAUUUUUAGCUUUAAUAGUUGUUCCACUCUGAACCUACCAUGACAUACUUAUUAGAAAGUUUCUACAAAGUAUGAGCCAUUAUAAUCGUUAUGAGCAAUAGUGAGAUACUACAUUCUCACAUAUGAGAAAAAGAAAACAAAUUACAUAUGAAACCUCAGCUAGAUGAGAAAAGCUAAUAUUUUAGAUAAUUCCAUGGGUCCUUGACAUAUCCAGUACCUAAGGUUCACUCUUUUAUGUCAAGGGGCAAAUUUUGUGCUUUGAGAGAUGAGACCACCAUAAGGACAGACUCCAUCUCAAACUUGUUAUGCCGGUGAUAAGGAAAUUAUAACGGCCACUAUUUUUAACUAUGGUUCUAGCCUUAUCUCUAUUCAAUCAUUUAUCAACCCUAUCUUGGAUCUUCCCCGCUAACAACUUGAGCUGACUUGAGGACCUAACUUUUUCCCUAGAAAUGUUAGUUGCGCUCGAUCAAUCGUUUUUGGCUUUGUUUGAUGAUGAAAUUAGGUAGGAUUCUUUUCUUUUCGGUAUUCAAACUCACCUUCGCCAAAUGUUGUUUUAUUUCAAUAUUUUGGUUCUUUCCAUCGCAAGUCACUUCUCUUUCCACAAUACUGAAGCCUAAAGAAAGGAGAAGAAAGAAUCAAAUGCACCAUCUCAGUAAUAGGUAAAUGCCUUUUUUCCCCAUAAUACAAUUAUUAGAUGCAUGUUAAUGUUGUAAUGUUGAAAGGCUCCCUAUUAAUCACUUUCAGGACGCACCUAGUGCCUGCUGCUUGAGGCUUUUUUAAGCGAAAAUUUGGUAUCCAGGUAGAACAUAUUCCAAAUUUAAGUAGGAUGAUAGAGUAGCUUCUUUGACUUUGCUGAGAUGUUGUCUCCCAAUUAUUCCCCAGUUUUGUUGGCACGAUAAAUCUUACAGGAAAAUUACUAAGAAGUUCUUAGAUUUCACAGAGAAAUCUGAAAAAAAUGUAGCUAGCAAUGUCAUUAUCUUAUAACAGCCUCUCUGAUUUUUUGUCAUUGAUCAUUGUGAUAGAAAUAACAAUUAGUAGUUACUCGGUCCAGCCUUUUGACUGGAUAUUUUUGAAAAAUUACUAAAAAGUUCUUUGAUUUCAUAGGAGAAUUCUGAGGAACACGAGAGAGGCCACAAGGUCCCCCUCAAACGUAUAGGAGCAUCUUGAAAAAUUUACUAAAGUUUCAGUAAUGUCCUCAUCACAUAAUUACCUCUAGGAGUUUCUCUCAUCCAUUAGGAUUAUAAAACUAACAGUUUGCACUUACUCAGUCCAACCUUUGACUAGAUAAUUAUGAGCACUAUAACAACUGCCAUUAACCCUUGUAACGGAAAUGAUUUAUAAGAGCAUUUCUGUGGCCAUGAUCUAAAGAGGAACCAGUAAGAAGAGAUAUUGAUAUUUUAUCAAAAGAGAAAGAACAACAACGACAUAUAUCUCAACAUAACCGGUCCCUCCAAAACCAUUAUGAGAGCUGUUAUGAGUUAUGACAUUUUAGUGACGUUAUUCUAAAACAUUAAUUCACUGGAGACAAAAGAAUGCUGAAACAUGAGUCUCAGGUUCAUUACCAGGUAGCCAAGUCUUUUUACUGAAAAAGGUGAGCAGAUCAUAGCAAAUUACCAGAACAUGCUUAAUAUGAUGGAAUAAUUCAAAUGGCUGCCAAUUCUUCAGGUAAAUGCUUCAAUAACGUUACCUGACAAGACGACGAGAUCUUCGACAUCAAGAGUCUUGUUUGCGAAACGACCGGCGAGAGUUGUGAAGUUGGAGAAGGGCGAAGGGAUGUUGGCACGGGCCUCUGAUGCCAGGGAAAUGGUGC